rnacentral:tRNA from 1 species
GCCGACAUAGCUCAGCGGUAGAGCAACUGUUUUGUAAACAGUAGGUCGGGUGUUCAAAUCACCCUGUCGGCUC